GGUCCGAUUAGCUAGUUGGCGGGKUAAAGGCCKACCAAGGCGACGAUCGGUAGCUNGUCUGAGAGGACGACCAGCCACACUGGGACUGAGACACGGCCNNGDCUCCUACGGGAGGCAGCAGUGGGGAAUUUUUCGCRAUGGGGGBDACCCUGACGAAGCAAUGCCGBGUGGAUGAAGAAGGCCKUCGGGUUGUAAAGUCCKUUCGUGGAGGACGAAAAGGUGGGUUCUAAUACAAUCUGCUAUUGACGUGAAUCCAAGAAGAAGCACCGGCDAACUCCG
rnacentral:rRNA from 1 species